GACGAACGCUGGCGGCGUGCUUAACACAUGCAAGUCGAACGGAAAGGCCCUGCUUUUGUGGGGUGCUCGAGUGGCGAACGGGUGAGUAACACGUGAGUAACCUGCCCUUGACUUUGGGAUAACUUCAGGAAACUGGGGCUAAUACCGGAUAGGAGCUCCUGCUGCAUGGUGGGGGUUGGAAAGUUUCGGCGGUUGGGGAUGGACUCGCGGCUUAUCAGCUUGUUGGUGGGGUAGUGGCUUACCAAGGCUUUGACGGGUAGCCGGCCUGAGAGGGUGACCGGCCACAUUGGGACGGAGAUACGGCCCAGCCCCCUAGGGGGGGAAGAGGGGGGGAAUAUUGAACAAGGGGGGGAAGCCGGAGGCAGCACCGCCGGGGGGGGGAUGACGGCCUUCGGGUUGUAACCCGCUUCCGCCUGGGACGAAGGGGGGGGGAGGGAAAGGGGUAAAAAAGCACCGGUAAACUACGU
rnacentral:rRNA from 1 species